rnacentral:rRNA from 1 species
GAUGAACGCUGACAGAAUGCUUAACACAUGCAAGUCAACUUGAAUUUGGGUUUUUAACUUAGGUUUGGGUGGCGGACGGGUGAGUAACGCGUAAAGAACUUGCCUCACAGCUAGGGACAACAUUUGGAAACGAAUGCUAAUACCUAAUAUUAUGAUAAUAGGGCAUCCUAUAAUUAUGAAAGCUAUAAGCGCUGUGAGAGAGCUUUGCGUCCCAUUAGCUAGUUGGAGAGGUAACGGCUCACCAAGGCGAUGAUGGGUAGCCGGCCUGAGAGGGUGAUCGGCCACAAGGGGACUGAGACACGGCCCUUACUCCUACGGGAGGCAGCAGUGGGGAAUAUUGGACAAUGGACCGAGAGUCUGAUCCAGCAAUUCUGUGGGCACGAUGAAGUUUUUCGGAAUGUAAAGUGCUUUCAGUUGGGAAGAAACAAAUGACGGUACCAACAGAAGAAGUGACGGCUAAAUACGU